UUAGACAAUAUAUAACAAUAAUAACUAUGCAUUAAUCCCAUCAGGUAAAAUCAACUACAUGCCUAUAUAAAUGUUCUAUCGUAAAUCAUUAAAGAGUAUGCAACACUAAAACUAACCUUCGCUAAAUUUUAGCUUCAUUUUCCGGUAAAUAUACAUGGUUGCUACCACAGCAUGUAUGAGAAUCUAAAUUCACAUGGAAUCUGUGCAGAAAAGCAAAAGAAUCAAUUAAAAAAGGUAUUAGUACAGAAUAUAGCACAAGUUGAAAACUAUCUAGCAACCAUAGUUUGGAUUAUUUCAAAGCAGUAAUGGAAAAACAAUAUGAGAAGGAGAAGAAAGGUAAGAGAAAAUUAAAAUAAGUACAAAUAAGACAUAGACAAACAACUAUUUAUAUCCCUAGUUAAACAUUGGCAGAGAGGGGACCUUCAUUGUCACAGAAAUAAUCUUUGUGGAGGGUCAAUUGUACAGACCCAAGAAUUUACAGCAAAAUAUCCACUCCCAUAAUAAAAUAAAGGCAAAUGGUAAAAAAGGUGAUGGCAGCAUACCUCAGAUAUUCUAAGAAAUGACCCAAUUAUUGCUCCCAAGAUCAAAGAAGAAUCUUUUCUGGUCAAACCUGAUCACUUUUGAGACCUCAAAGAAGAAUCUUUUCUGGUCAAACCUGAUCACUUUUGAGAACCUCAACUCAAGUUCCCAAGUGCCAGAAAUAAAGCCAGCACCAACAUCAUCCAAAAGUCCAACAAGACCUUCUGGGGAUCAGAAUUUCGCUGUUGCAUAAUUCAAACAAUAUUUUGUUGUUGCAUAAUUCAAACAACCAAAUCAGAUAAAACAGAUCAAAACAUGGAAAACACUAGCGGCAUAGCAGGGGGGAAAUGCCUGCAUGCAGAAGAAGGAAACAUGAUCGGGUAGAAUGAAAAGCCUUGAGGACUCGUAAACUCCUUGUUUCUAUUUCUAUGUUUUAUUAAUGUUACUUGCAUAUUCAAGAUUGAAGACAUGUACAUGGUCUCAAUUUGAACCUAAAUGUCUUUCAUCUUUGAUCAAAAGAAAAGUUUGCUUGUGAGCUGUGAGGAACAGAGUUCAAAUAAUGAAGUUAUCACAUUGAGAAGAGCUUUAUCCUAACUAUCACCACAACCCAAUUAUCAUUGAUAUGGUUAUGCUUGAGAGAUAGUCUGCUAAAAAUUAUAAAAAAACAUUGCUGAUAUAUUUUUAGCAAGCUUUUGCAUGUCUGACACCAAAUUGAUGGUUCAAAAUGCAACAAGACUGCUCAAUCCCCUAUGUGCAGAUAAGUCAGGAAUCAUUGCUGCUUUUUGAUCAAGAAGCAUCAGUUCUACAUAUAAAGGUAAAUGUCAUGAUCUUAUACGAACUGUGCAGUUGAGACAUAAAACACUUUCAGGUUCGUUCUUUUUUCAGGGUGGCCAUGAACUAGAGCAAAAGUUUUAGUAGAUGAGAAAAGUCGGCAGCAGAAAACCUUGGAGAUUAAAAUAAUUACCACACGAGUUAGUAGUCGUGGAAGUGUCCAAUCCAAUGAAGAGUGUGCUACUAUCACUCUUGCUUUGCAAAUCAAUAUGCCUUUCUGAACUAAGUGAUGUUGAAACAAUGUCAGGUAUUGAAAGUGGAAGUAAGUCAAACUAAUGUUAAUUGGUUUAAUAAGAAGGAAAAUAUUCAUGGAGAAUCAGAGGCAACCCAAGAGGCAGCUGCAAGUGGAGAGGUAGUUUUCACGAUUUGAAUUCAUGACCUCCAGUUCACAAGGAAUCAACCUUACCAUUGCAUUGAGACACACCCUCUCCUUGGAGAAUUAAA
rnacentral:lncRNA from 1 species